UACGUAGGUGGCAAGCGUUGUCCGGAUUUACUGGGUGUAAAGGGCGUGUAGGCGGGAGCGCAAGUCAGAUGUGAAAUGCAGGGGCUCAACCCCUGAGCUGCAUUUGAAACUGUGUUUCUUGAGUACUGGAGAGGUUGACGGAAUUCCUAGUGUAGCGGUGAAAUGCGUAGAUAUUAGGAGGAACACCAGUGGCGAAGGCGGUCAACUGGACAGCAACUGACGCUGAGGCGCGAAAGCGUGGGGAGCAAACAGG
rnacentral:rRNA from 1 species